UUUCUCUCGGGUUGAAGAGGCUGAGCCAAGCACGGUUUAUUCCGACCGCUGUGGCGUCUGUGCACACACACCUCUCUACCUGCCCUGCCCCGAGACCAAGAAGCACUAUGAUCGGUGCUGCCUGCCGCAAGAGAGAGCUGGCUACGAUGUUGACAGAUGCCUCACCCCAGGAGACAGAGAUAGUGUCAGUGCUACCGUAGAUGACCCCUUGCCCUCCUCCACGUGUGACACUGGGACACAGUGUAAUCUGAAUCCCCUUGGAAGGUCUCACGCUGUGCAGGUGAACCUGAAGCCCAACAUGGUCAGCGUGGGGACAUAGACAACAUUCAGGAUGCAAACUUCCACCCCCCUCACUAGUCCUGAAUAAAGUGAUGGAGAAAAA